CAAGGUCAAAACAAGGAGGUAAAUCAAGAAGUCUGUUUGAGCAAUCCAUAGCAAUAAUGAUAUUGUACUCACAAGGAGUACAGGAGCCAGAGAUAUGAAGCAGAGUGUUGCAGGAGCCUCCUUCAUUCCUUCCUGAAGGCCGCCCCCCCACCAUGCCUGCUUGAGGCAAAUGGGAACUCGCUUUCACAACAGCACUUUGUGCUACACAAGCAUCGAAGGAGUCUUGUAGUCC
rnacentral:lncRNA from 11 species